rnacentral:lncRNA from 1 species
UGGGCAGUAGAACAAGACAGCACUUUGACAUGGACAACUCUAUUAGGAGGCCCAGCCCUGUCUGACUACAAAGCUUAUGCCUACCUGCUGAGGCUUACAGCUUGGAAUACAGACAAGUGCAAGUAGGAGUGCUCGGGGCACCUUCCAGUCCAGGCUGUGAUGGGUACUGCAGAGCUGCCUUGGUGCAGAGGUUACAUGAGUCAGCACUGUGACUUCUGACUCACAGUGGGGAACAAAACAGAGUGACCUUCCUUUGGAAGCAGAUAGGCAAGUGACUGGCAAAUCCUCGGACAAAGUUAAUGAAUCACUUGUCUAAGUAAACUUAUUAACACAUGCAUACCUUCUCUUAAGCAGGUAGUGUUUAUAUCUCUAUAACGGCAUUAACAGUCCAAUGCAUGUGUACGGAUUCAGCAGGAAGAGCUACCACUAAGUGUCUUCAAAGAUGGCCCAUGUUACCUGUAUGAGAGAGGAUGUGCUCUGAAGUAGGUCCAAAGGAAUUCAAGUUCAGUGCAGAUUAAACCAUGUCUCUAACAGAACAGUUCCUGUCAUGUAGGAGUUACAGAAGAGAAGCUCCCAGAGAUGAGGCAGUAGAAAAUCUCCUGUCCAGGUAUCAGCUGUCAGGGUCGAGUUUUGAUCCCCAGACUGUUUCCCAUCCAGGCGCUUUAGCUUUUUGCACUCAGCUGUGCCUUCAGUAAUCCCCCCCCGAUUAUGAUGUACCUCAUAGCUACUUCUUUAACACCAUGAAUGAAUGCCUGACUGUCUGCCUGCCUGCCAACACACUCUCUGCAAUGAUGAUGAAGGACUAACCCUCU